AGUGAACGCUGGCGGUAGGCCUAACACAUGCAAGUCGAACGGCAGCACAUUAAGCGCUUGCUCUUACGGGUGGCGAGUGGCGGACGGGUGAGGCAUACAUCGGAAUCUACUUUUUCGUGGGGGAUAACUUAGGGCAACUUACGCUAAUACCUCAUACGACUUACGGUUGAAAGCAGGGUAUCUUCGGACCUUUCCCGCUCUCAUGAGCCGAUGUCGGUUUAGCUAGUUGGUGGGUAAAGGGCCCACCAAGCCGACGAACCGUAGCUGGUCUGAGAGGAUGAUCAGCAACACUGGAACUGAAAAACGGUCCAGACUCCUACGGGAGGAAGAAGAGGGGAAUAUUGGACAAUGGGCGAAAGCCUGAUCCAGACAUACGGCGUAGGUGAAGAAGGCCUUCGGGUGGUAAAGCCCUUUUGUUGGGAAAGAAAAGCAGGAGGUUAAUAAGCCGCUGAUCUGACGGUAACCAAAGAAUAAGCAACGGCUAACUUCGUG
rnacentral:rRNA from 1 species